rnacentral:rRNA from 1 species
AUGAUCAUGAACUGUCGCUUCCCUGAUCAGAAAAUGGCUGUUGGAAAGCUUGAAUAUAAAAAAAUUAUUGAAGAGAGACUGAAAAUAGAUUGCCUGUAUAAUACAACUGUAAUGGAGGUAAUGUGGGGCGUACAGCAUUGCAUGCGAAGUUUGGUGCCUGAGGAGAAAUCACAGCUGGCUGAAGCUGACCGUCUCCCGCUGAGUCUAGGACUACAAUAUGUACUGAGUCAUUAUGGCUGUGAUGUCGAAUCAGAUAUGGUCAGUGAGCAAAUCGUUGCCACGGCUUCUGCCUUGUUUCAGUGUGAUUCUGUUGAGAAGAAGUAUUCUAGAGCCUUGCGCAAUGCAGGUGAUCUCAUUAAGGAUGUAUCUGGCAUCAACUGUGAGGGUUGGACGUUACUAAAAAUUGCAAAAGCUCUGAAGAUGAUAUGGUGGCCUGAAUUUGGCGAUUCCUCUGAGUGA